rnacentral:lncRNA from 1 species
CAUACCUAGCAGCCAAAUCAAGGACAGUUAAGCUCCCAGAGGAAUUUUUUUUUCAGCUUUAAUUGAGUUUAUUGGUACAUUUUAGGGAUACAGUACAGUUACAUUCAUUGUUGGGAUCUUGUACCUCUACAUGACAAGUCUUGAUUCUCAUUUUUUCCCCUUACCUCUGCCCUCCCUUCAAUUUUAAAGCCAUGAAACAAAAUGCAGCCCCACAUGAAGUUUUUAACAGGAAACCUCUGGCUCUAUACCUCUGCUGCAGGAAAAAAGCAUAAGCCAAAGCAGUACCUGCCCCAGUUAGCAUUUUGGAAAGAAAGAGGAUGGAGCCCAGAGAGCUGACAGGUACCUGAAAGGACAGAAAGACAGAUAAACUGGAAGAGACUGAGGUGUCCAACACAGACAAGAGAGUGCAUCCACUCUGAGGAGGAG